GUGUCAGCCGCCGCGGCAAUACGUAGGGUGCGAGCGUUAAUCGGAAUUACUGGGCGUAAAGCGUGCGCAGGCGGUGAUGUAAGACAGAUGUGAAAUCCCCGGGCUCAACCUGGGAACUGCGUUUAUGACUGGCAGGCUAGAGUAUGGCAGAGGGGGGUGGAAUUCCACGUGUAGCAGUGAAAUGCGUAGAGAUGUGGAGGAACACCGAUGGCGAAGGCAGCCCCCUGGGCCAAUACUGACGCUCAUGCACGAAAGCGUGGGUAGCAAACAGGAUUAGAUACCCUGGUAGUCCACGCCCUAA
rnacentral:rRNA from 1 species